UACGUAGGGGGCUAGCGUUGUCCGGAAUCAUUGGGCGUAAAGAGCGCGUAGGCGGCCAGAUAAGUCCGGUGUGAAAGUCACAGGCUCAACCUGUGAAUGCCGCUGGAAACUGUCUGGCUAGAGUCCGGGGAGGGGCGAGUGGAAUUCCUGGUGUAGCGGUGAAAUGCGCAGAUAUCAGGAGGAACACCAAUGGCGAAGGCAGCUCGCUGGAACGGUACUGACGCUGAGGCGCGAAGCGUGGGGAGCAAACAGG
rnacentral:rRNA from 1 species